rnacentral:lncRNA from 1 species
UUUUACAGCUACGUGGGUCUACUCAAUUACAUUCUGAAAUUCUCUCUCCUGAACAUCCACCUGUCCCAAGCUCACCCAUUCUACCUUGACUUUAUAAACUUCAUUUCCCAAAAAGAAAUCUCUAUGUUCUCCUCUAACAGUGGUUUGUCGAUAAUUCUGUUUUAGAUACCGCUGUUACACCCUCACAUAUAUUAAGGUGAUAUAGUAAUCCUAAUAAGGAUAUUAGAAUUAGUUUCUUGGUUUUCUUGGUGUCUUUUUAACUAGGACUUGAAUCUAUGAGGUGGAAGAAAUCAUGUCAUAUUAUUCUUUGUCUUGUAAUAUGUAGUUCAUUUCUGAGUUUAUAGAAGACGUGGAAUGUUUUUAUUUUUUUAAUUGCUGAAUUGAAUCUGACUACCAUUAUGCAAGUAGGUGAGGAGAUACAUAUACAGGAGUUUCUGAGUGUUCUUUCCUAAAACUUGUGCACAUUAUGUUUGUAUAUGAAAUAGAGGCAGUGUUUAGAAUGAACGUGGCUGUGCUAUACUUCUUGAUUUCAGUGUUACAACAAAGAUUAGAUUAAAGGAACAACAAACAGCAUGUUACAAGAAGCAUUCCAAUUUUCCAGUAAGAACUGAGUCAUGCAAGAGAGACCAUACAGGUUCCACAAUUAAUCUAAUGCAAAUUUUAAAAGAAUAUAGGACUCCCAGACAUGAAGAAACAUGAGCCACAGAUAUAGUCCAAUGACUUCAGAAGUAUUUCCAGGAAAACCAAAAGCCUGUCUUAAUAAGAUACCAACUCUGAAAUCCCUGAGAUGCUUAUAGCUGAAGCUUAAUACAAUAGGCCCAUCAGUAAAUUUAUUCAUAGUCAACCAAUGUUGCUAAAGCUUUAAAGAACAGAGAAAUUAAAAUGUGUUUUGCAUGGGGAAGUUUUCCCCAGAGUUCCUCAUUUUUAUAUAGGAAAUCAAUUUGCAUCACUGAUGAUAUCAUUCAC